AACCCUUCGGGGUUAGUGGCGCACGGGUGCGUAACGCGUGGGAAUCUGCCCUUUGGUUCGGAAUAACAGUUAGAAAUGACUGCUAAUACCGGAUGAUGACUUCGGUCCAAAGAUUUAUCGCCAGAGGAUGAGCCCGCGUAGGAUUAGGUAGUUGGUGGGGUAAAGGCCUACCAAGCCGACGAUCCUUAGCUGGUCUGAGAGGAUGAUCAGCCACACUGGGACUGAGACACGGCCCAGACUCCUACGGGAGGCAGCAGUGGGGAAUAUUGGACAAUGGGCGCAAGCCUGAUCCAGCAAUGCCGCGUGAGUGAUGAAGGCCUUCGGGUCGUAAAGCUCUUUUACCCGGGAUGAUAAUGACAGUACCGGGAGAAUAAGCUCCGGCUAACUCCGUGCCAGCAGCCGCGGUAAUACGGAGGGAGCUAGCGUUGUUCGGAAUUACUGGGCGUAAAGCGCACGUAGGCGGCUAUUCAAGUCAGAGGUGAAAGCCCGGGGCUCAACCCCGGAACUGCCUUUGAAACUAGAUGGCUAGAAUCUUGGAGAGGUCAGUGGAAUUCCGAGUGUAGAGGUGAAAUUCGUAGAUAUUCGGAAGAACACCAGUGGCGAAGGCGACUGACUGGACAAGUAUUGACGCUGAGGUGCGAAA
rnacentral:rRNA from 1 species